CCCGGGCGGGGGCACUCACCCUGGGCUUGGCCUCGAUGUUCUCCCGCAGGAGCCACUCCUCGUUCAGCGUGUACCGCGCCUUCCCCGUGAUGGCGUCGAUGGACCCCUUGUUGAUCUGCUGUUUGAUGGCACAGAUCAGCAGGAAGAAGGGCUCCCCGACUGUCUCCUGCAGGAAGGAAAGAGCAGGCUGGAUAGUCGUGCUGCAUGGGCACAGCCAUCCGCACUCGCUCCUUUAACUUCUCCUUCAUUAUACUGGCUAAUUAUGUGAGCUAAAAUGAAAGAUUAUGAACUACAAAACCAUGGGCCUUAGGACAAAAAGUGCUCAUCAGCUGGGAUCAGAAGACAUUACGAUACGUAUGAGGACAAUGCAGCAUUGCUUUUGUGCCUACAGCAAACACUUUGGGAAAAGAGAUUUUUCAAAGGCUUUUUUCCAGGCUCUCCCCUGUGGCUAUAAUGGGGUGUCCUCCAAUUAACUGCCAUGGAAUCAAUUAAGUUAUUGCUCAAUUCUUCUGGGAAACUCCAACUAGAAUUGGCAAAUGUUGGAGAUAAAGCACUGAGCAGAUGGACUGCUGAUGUGCUCUCAGAUGCCAAAUAUAUUCCUUUCGUUACCGUCGGGAGACACUCAGGCUUCUGGGACAGACACCCCCUCUCCUCCGAGACCCGCCUGGCCAGCCUGGGACCACGAGGACACUCCUGCGCCAGGAGCCCCCGUGCGCACGGCACCGGGACAGGGCAGCCCCGGCGGCACCGGCCCCCGGCAGCACCAGCCCCCGCAGCCGGGGCUCCGCGCCUGGGCCAGACGAUGCUGAACCCGCUGGCGACCACCAGUGCGGCUGCGCAAGCUGGUCAGAGAGAACAACACAUAACUGGAGCCGUUUCCAAAACCUCAAGCCAUUCUGGUUACUUUUCAGCUCCCCCGCAGCUCUCUUCUAGGCGUGGUGAAAACGUUCUUUGUGCUCGGGCCUCGGGAAAGGCCUGACACAGCCUCCUUCACCACAUCCCCAGGCAGAAGCGGAAAAGCAACUGAACUUCAGGUUGCUUUUCCACACUUGGACCUUUCAAUGCACUGGAGCUCAUCGGCUGUCAGUGACCAUUCAUGUCCCCAGCUGUCACCCGUGCCCCCCAACACCGCUGCACACAGUGAUCUGGUUCUCUUACUCUGAGAUAGCUGUACAUGCAGAUGGACAUCCAGUUGGUGAGCAUCUUCUCCACCACGGACUCCGUUCUCCUCAGCAUCAACUUGGGGUUUUUGGAAGCUGAUGCAUCUAUUAGAUCCACCAAGAGGUCCUUCAUGAUACUGGUGUAAUACUCCAGUUUCCCGUGUAAUGCGAUAGUGAGCAGGGAGGCCAGGUUACAUCUGAAACACAGAAUUGUCUAUGGCUCCAGCACCAAUCAACAGGACUAAACCACCAGCUGGUGCUAAAAAAACCCAAAACACAAAGGCAGCAUUUCAGACAAUUUUCAUGAGCCUUCUCAAAGGUGUUAAAUCUUCAACCCUCCUUUCACUGCUGCAGGACCUCGGGUCAGCCUGCACCCUCUCGCUGGUGACCCACGUGUCCAGGGACACAAACACAAGCAGUCACCCUGCUGGUGCUCUUCAGGAUGACCGAGGUUUAUGGCCAUCCGUUUCUAACAGAAAAGUGGGAGGCAAGUAUAACUCAACCUCCAAUUGAAAUGCAGGGCUCCAGGCACGGGCUGGAUUAUUCACAGGUGAGGAAUAAAUCAGUCUCCUCCGGCUGCCAGGUCUUUGAUUCUGAAGCUCAUACCUGUCCCUAACAGCAAAGUCCUUCUGUUGCUCCAGAGCAUGGACGAACACGAUGAGAAAGUGCCUGUUGUUGAGCAAGGUGGAGAACAGUGAGAUUCCUUCUUCCAUGUUGGGUCUGCAGUUUUCGGGGAUCUGAAGAAAAAUGCAGAAAACGGAGUGAGAAAAACCCUCCAUGUUGUUUCCCUCCAGCUUUUACCCUUCCUGCCUGCCAGAUGCCCUGCUGAACGCAGAGGUACCUGCUCAGACACUUCACUCCCUCUGCUUGGCUCAAGCCUUUCCUGGGGAGGGCACGACCGCAGCUGUGGCUGGAGCAGCAGCAGCUUGGCCAGAGGGGCAGCGACAGUGACAGUGGCCAUUCCUCUCUGCUCAGAACUUGGGAGGACACCUGGAGCUCUGGGGCCAGUUCUGGGCUCCCCGCUAUGACGUGGAUAUUGGCAAACCAGAGCAGAGUGACUCUGAUUCUUCAAUUCCAACCCUGUCCACACGACACCCAGCUCUGGGACACGAGCAGCUUUCACUGAGCCCCUUCGUGGGAGGAAUCGCACUGCGUGUGGCACCGAAGCGACGCACAACGUGGUGCAUUCACAACAAAAGCCCACGGCAGAGCCCGGGAGGAUCCCGGGCCAGGAAUCCUGUGUGUGAGAACAGAUCCACAGAGCUGCCUUCUGUGACCAGCCAAAGCUGAGCCGAUGCUGCUCUGUGCUAAUUGUUCUGAGCAAAAGCAUCCCCCCGGCACCACAAGAAAACGCACGGCACUGUCAGCACACGCCAGUCUGGUUAGCAACCACCCGAGCAGUCGUUUGGUUAGUGGGUUACUCACUUUCCAUUCCCCCACCAGCAGCGGGUGCGUCUCCUGGACCUGGGAGCCCACCGGGGAGCCGAGCUGCGGGGCCGGCAGGACGUAGCACUCCUCGUAGAGCGAGGAACACUGCGAGCAAGCACAGCGUUACGGGACGGCGGCUGCACCGGCCGGACCUCCGCGUGUGCCGCGCACCGCCCGAGAACCAGACAGAGAGACGUGUCAUCAGCACGAGGACCACCCAGCAUGCAGAAACGCACUGGUGUGGUUUGCGAAGCCUUUAAACGCUUUGCAAGAGCCUCCUGAAUGAGCAAACACCACAAGAACGGAGGGAGGCAGAUGUCUGCACAGACACGAGGCUGUUAGGGUAGGGAGACUGCAAAUAGACUAACUUGACAGCUAGAAAAAUCCCAGAAGAGAAAGCGUUAUAGAAGCCUAAGUCAAAAUAGAGCAGUACUGGGUGAUUUAACAUAUGUAACUUUUGAAACAGAUGGGAAAAAUGUUUAAGUCUCUAGCAUUCACAUAGCAGCCUGAACCUUCAAGACUCUAGCGUGCAGAUAUAUAGAGACUGGAUGACUUAAAAACCUGAGUAAUAACUACUAAUGAAACACUCCGCAGCCAUAAAUCAUCAUCUCACUCCUCAGCACUGAAAUACAGCCGCCUCAGGGGUGAAAUACAGCCGCUGUUGAGGGCGCAGAGCAACACGGCGGAGCAGCCGGUGAUGGGAAUUACGGCACCAGCGUGUCUGCUGCAGCCACAGCGGAGCCUGGGCAGACAGAGCGGGACUGGGCACCCGGGGCCUCUGACUGGGAGCACCGUGCGCCCGCCUUCGGCAGAGGAGAGGAAAGGGAGACAGAGACAUCCUGUCCUUCUAUGAAUCUCUGAUCCAGCGAGCUCCUGAGGACGGGCAGAGCCGCCGGGAAUGCCUGGUGGCACACUGCAUGGAACACUCCUCAGCCCCAGCCCCCGCCGAACGGAGUGAGAUGACACUGGGGUGACAUGGGCCCUGGGGAAGGGGCAACCCCAGCACUUAGUGUGCUUUCAGAAGAGGGUGUGCAGGGCAUCGCCCAGGCGAGCCAGAGCUGCUCCCGGGACCGUGCCGCCGGGCUCCCGUCCUGUGCCAGCAAACCCGACCUCCCUUCACACCCCAGGAGCUGCGGCUCCACUUUUGAUGAUAAUUGAGGUUGAAAUAAAUGACAACUAAAUAUAUAACAGUGGAAUGGUUUCGUUACACUAUAAUAGGCCUUUAGCAGAGGGAAAGCAGGGCCCUGAUGCGGUUAGGGAGGACCCGGGAGCUAUCGGGUGCCCAUGAAAUGCGGUGCUGCCUUACUUUGGGGAAGAAGGUCCGGGUGACAAAGUGCUUGUACUCCAGGAACGGGAUCCCCUGGCUGCGGUUUAACUCCUUGGUCAGGUCUGUCAUGUCUGUCUGCAGCUCCGCAAAACCUUACACAAAGAGACCCGCAGAUGGUAAGAUCUCCAGCACCCCCAGCUGAGGCAGCAGCAGGCUGGCACCGGAAACCGCGGCUCGUCUCUCUGCCUCGAGCGGGCUGGCACAGGCUCUUCUCGAGGAGAGCAGACACCGUCAAGGUUUAACCACCAGCACUGCACGUGCCGACCCGCAGCACCGACACAGAACAUCCCCACCUCGGCAGAGCAGCCCCGGACGGUUCUGCGGGACGGGGACAUCUGCCCGCGCCGCUGUCACCACUGCGGGGACAGCCGCUGCAGACGCUUGGGUUGCUGCUCCCAUCACUGCAGGAGUGUGCUGCAGUUGUUGUGCACCCAGCCAUAGAGCACACCAGAGAUCAGCGUGGCCUUCACACACCCCUCUGCCACAGCCACGAGCCCGAGGCAGGGAGACCAGCGGCACUGUGGACCGGGGCUGGCCCAGGGCAGGCAGCGGGACGCGGCACAGCCACCCAGCCUCGCUCACAGACCCUGCUCGAGCCCAAAGGCGAUGGCAGAAAUUCUCCUACAAAUAACCCUGCAAACCUGUACCCAGCAGAAGGCGAACGGGUCCACCCCUGCUAUUCCAGCACCUCCUCGCAGUCCCGGCUGCUCCCCGGGCUCCGCGCCGUGACUCACCUUUGCGGAUUUCCUCCCGGAUCUGCGACUCCAUCUCCUCCAUCUGGAGCAGGGUUUUCUGCCAGUAGCGCUCUGCUCUGCGGCUCUUUGUGCAGAACACAAAGAGAGCUGGAAGAGAGGAAGGGAAGAAGCCUUUGGACCGGGCGUUCGGAGCAGCUGCGGCGGGACCGGAGCGGUCCUCUGCUGACAGGGUGCCGAGAGCUCAACCCAGUGCGGGUGUAACACCCACAACAAGACUGGUAUCUGAUCAGGCAGUUGUUGAUUAUCUGUAAAUAAGUAAAACCAGCUGGAAUUUAAUGAUCAUGCUGUAUCUGUCAUCCUCAAUUUAGGUCUGGGCUGUCUAUAUUCAGCUUUACUGUAUAUUAAUGUAUUCCAGCUGAUUAAUGAAUACAGAUUUUAAGACAUUUACCACCUGUACUACAGUGUUUGUGUCUGACAGCCUUCCUAUGCCUCCACAAAUAUGUUUCUAAUGAUGGGUGGUGGAUUUAAUAAAUAGUGUGCAUUAUAACCUUUAUUAAAAAUAAAUUAAAUCCCUAUUAGAAACACCUCA